rnacentral:lncRNA from 1 species
ACGCAAGUUGAGGAUCGGUAGUUAGCUCUUUCGGCCGGCUGAAAUAGGCAUCAUUAAAGCGACGAGAUUUACGACUCUCUCAUCCAACUCCUUCCCUAUGGUGUUCAAUAACUGGCCGAUUGCCUCAACAUUUUCCUCAGCAGGGCAUGAUUUUCCAUCACACAGUAAAUCAUUGAGCGGGACGCGGGGCGCCGGCACCUACGUGUGGGCGGAGGACGGCGUGAUCGGAGGCGGCGGAGUCGAACCGUGGAGCGAGUAUUCUGCUGCCUCUGGUCCUCCCUCCACCGCCGGGCCUCAAGCCGAUGACCGCCUGAUCAGUCUGCAUACCUCGCCAAAAGACCUCGGAUUCUCUCUCUCUCUCUCUCUCUCUCUCUGAGCAGUGGUGCGAUCAAGCUGGCCACCCAAUCGGCGCCGCGAAUGGUGGAAGAGGCGGGGAGAGAUGGAGGUCGUGUUGGCGAAGCCUUCUUCGCCCUCGGGGUGCCGAACGGAAGGGCGAGAGGAAGGGAGGGAAUCGGAGCCGCAAAUGUAGAUGUAUUUAUGUCUGCGGUCUUUCCGACGUCGCUAAUUGCAACGAAAGGAUCGUUCUGAUGAUUGUCACUUUAUAACGAUCACUUUAUAACAACGAGAGAUGAGAAUCGAUGUUGACAUAAUUACAGACAUAAUUACAGAGUGAUAAAAGGUGUGCUCGUCGAUAUGUACGUUGAUGUCAACACAAAUAUAAAAUGAUAAAACAGUCGCUAGAUAAUUAUAUCGUCGUCGAUAUGAAUGUAAAACGGUUCUCACAUUUUACGGUUGCUCUUCUCAUCCAAAAAGCCACCCGAAUAAUCCUUUCAUCGCUCUAUAUCAAUAUCGACGUCGAUACAAUUAUCCUGGUAACAUAUGCUUUCGCCCAUGACUUCAAUAAAAGGAGAGAUGGCACGUGCCGGUUGGAGUUGAUAAUAUGCCUAGCGCUUUUUACACAUAUAUCCUUGUAAGGUUUAAAAAUACUGUAUUUACCCUUAUAUAUAUAUAUAUAUAUUCUUCAGAAAAGUAAAUUUAUGAUCCUGAAUACACAUGCAUAUAUAUACACCUCCCAUUUACACUCAUUUAAAAAAUUAAGAUUAAUUAUAAAAAUAAUCAUUCUUAAGCAACUGCUGGGUUUCAUCCAUGAACAUAUAAUAAGGUAAGUAGGCAAUUCACUUCAUGUAAGUUUGAGUGUUGUGCUGUCUAAUCUAUGAACAUUUCAACAGUGGAAUUGAGAGCCAAAUAGACUAAUUAUUCUUAGAAUUACAUGAUUCACAAUGAAUUUAGAAUCAGGAUCAUAAUAGUCAACAAAAAGCCUGUCAUUAUUACUUCACAGGGAAGAACUGCUUGAAGGUUUCAGAUGUCAUUCUAGUCUUGGCAUUAGAAUGAGAGACAUCAAGAUAGUUGAUAGCAAGGAUGUUCUAUGCAAAUGUAGCAAACAUGACAAUGGUAUAUUGCGGUCCAAGAAGCCAACCAGUACAUGGAAUACCAGAGAGAGAGCCUGUUGACUCAAGCUGAAGCAUUCUUCAUGGCACACUGCAUCACGAGAAGGCUUGGAAGAUAUCAUCAGCAUGCAUAGAUCUAAAUUACAUGUACAUAUAAACUGCAUCGGGCUUCUUGAAGCCUUUCAAGGUUUAAUGUUCUUCUGCACCAUCCUCGGAGAGGGCUGGUCGAUGUUAAUUCCAUGUACAUAUAAACUGCAUCAGGCUUCUUGAAGCCUUUCAAGGUUUAAUGUUCUUCUGCACCAUCCUCGGAGAGGGUUGGUCUAUGUUAAUUGCAUAUGAUUCAUAAUCUUUUAUAUAGAAGGGAAUGUCUUCGGGCACAAGGUCUCAGAUAUAGAGACAAAGGAAGAGGCAUCGAGCUUACCAUCAGCUACAAGUGCUUCCUUCACACGAUUGCAUAGCAAGCACGUACGGUUUCUAAACAAUAGAUGGAUGAUGGAGGCCGGAAUCCAUAUUCUCAAGAUAGAUGAUAGAAGUAGGAAUCCUAAUAUAUAUAUAUAUAACUUUGGUGAGCAAUUGCAGGAACUAAGAGCACACAAAACGAAACUGUAGAUGUGAAAGUUAUUACUUUGGUGAUAAAUCUAUGUUUUUUUAUGGAGAAAAACUAGACUUCAUCUGUUUCUGAUCAUUCGCAAAAGCUGAAACAAUCAACAUCGAUUAGCAGUUGCACACUGCUCGUUAACUCUUCACAUAUUUGAUGGUCACGUAUCCGAUUGUUUCGAUUGAAACCCUCCGUUUAAAGAAAAACCAAACUAUCUUUUUAUUUUUUCUUAUCUUUUCACAGGACUAUUAUAUAUCAUAAAAUAAGGACUAAAGAGAUAUAAGAGAAAAUAUAUAAUUUCUAUUAUCACAUUUUUGUUAUGACCGUAUCGACGCUAUACGCUAGGGGGAGGUGGUGAAUUAAUGCUUUCGUAAGAAAUAUCGAUUUGAAAAUCCGAUAUCGAAAAAAAUUUUAACUUUAAAUCAUUCGUAAGUGUAGUGAAUAAAUAAAUCAGUUUGUAAUAUGAAUAAAAACAUAAAGUAAAUGCAAACCAGAUUUAUAUUGGUUCGAUCAACAUGACAUAUAUCCACUCUCGAUUCCUCUUCACUUGAGGCCAUCGGCUUCUACUACCAAUCUUUUUUCCAACGGGUGAAUAUCAACUAUCCUUAUAACUCUUUCUCCUUGACAGAAGAGAACUUUUACACCUCUCUUUAGACCUCACUAUCCUUUUAAAAAUUUUCUAACUCUAGGAGGAAGAUACUCACUAACUUUAGAGAGAUUAUAAUAUUUUUUUUCUCAAGUAUAUAUUUUUUUUCUUUUCUACUCAAUUUCAUAUAUUAUCAAAAAAAAUAAUUAUGAUAUUUAUAUACCCUAGAUGGCUUAAAAAAUGGAGUAAAAAAAAGGUCUUAUUUCGGGUUUCCCAAGUCAUAAUGGUACCAUUGCCAUUACCGGACGGUACCACCGUCUACCAGAUUGAGCUGGUGGUACUAUCACAUAUUAGUCUGAUACUGAGCGGUACCAUCGCCCAGUAUGACAAUAUCACCGCCUAACACAAUAUGGAAGACUGUAUCUAAAUGGUACUACCACCUAAUCUAACGGUGCUAUCACCUAUGCCAACUAUGGGUCAUUGAAUGAGCUUUUUACUUAGCCUAAAACAAUCUCAAUUCGGGCUCAAUUAACUCCUAAUAAAAUUAUAUAUAUAUAUAUAUAUAUAUAUAUAUAUUAUUGUUAAUUAUAAUUAAUCAUGAUUACAAGUUUAUUGACUUUUCUAAUUUUAGAUGCAGCAUUUUUUUGUCCUUAUAAAACAAAAAAAUAUCUUAUAGAUAUGUCAAUAAAAUUAAUCUCCCCUAAAUUAACCAUCAGAUAUAAUAUUGUUGGAAUUUUAAUUGACAUAAUAUCCAUGUAAAAUAUAUUAUAAAUGUAUGCCUUUUAAAAUAAUACAUAUGAUAAUCAAAUAAAUGAUAGUGAUACAAGGUGCUUUAGAUAUUAAUACAUUCUAUAGGUAGUAUAACACCUUUCAAAGUUUUCUAUGCUAAUGCUUGUGGAUAAUCAUUAUAUUUCUCCUAAGCAAAGCUUGCUGGUGUAAUCUGAAAGCAUUAAUCUAUUAAUGAUUGAUAUGAUAGCUUGUUUGUUGUCAUCAUAAUGAUUAAACUUAGCAUGUAUUAAAGUGAUUUGGCAAGUUGUGAAUGAAAAAAAAUUUAAAUUUUCAUUUUGUCACACAUCUGACUUAAUGAAAUGUUUUUCUUGAUAUCAAUCAAUUCCUUGACAAUAAAAUGAUUGAAAUGUUUGGUGUUUUCAAAUAUCUUCUUAUCAGUUAUUGCUAAAAUUGAUUGACAAUAAAUACUUGGAACAUUUGGUUUCUCAUUAUUGAAAAACAAAUCAAAUGAAGGAAAAGAAUAGAACAAAUAUAGAUGAUGACACAAACAAAUUCUGUCUCUACUAUCUACAAUGAACCCAAGAGGUAUUGCAAUUUGCAUUCAUGGAACAAUCACCCACAAAAGUUCUGAUAUUUCACUUUUUCUGAAUUCUUUUACUGUUGAUAAUUCACUUUACAUCAUGGAAGAAAAAAAGGGCUCUUUUCUUUUUCUUCUUUGAAUGGCCCAAAUGUUCAGCAAUAUGCAGAGAUUGCAGUGAUCAUAGGCCUGAGCACUUUCACUGUUUUCUAACAUGGCUUUUUUUCUUUCCCUCAUCCCUGUUCUUGCAGCACAAUAUGUGAUCUCAUCUACAGCAAUAAGCUACUUCACACUGCUUUCUUUUCUUUUGCUGCUCUCUGUUCAUGUAGCACAGUGUGUGAUCCACCUACAGCAACUGGCAAUGAAGUGCCUGCAAAAUGCCAAGUAAGCAUUGUCAUCAUCACAUGGUUGGUGCAAAUGCCUUCUUUGUCACCAAGAAAAGCCCACACUUCACAAGCUAUAUCUAUCUUUGUAGCAGACCAACACAGGCCUUUGUGUCUUGUCUGGAUUCAGGGAAACCUUGCUGUGAACUCAGCCAUGGCUUCUGACAAACAUUUACAGAUACUAGAUAGGUGAACACUUGCUAUGGAUCCAUGGAGAGGUCAAUUCCUUUGAGAGAAGCUUUCCAAAGGCUCAUUGAUAAGAGACAGCUUGUCAAACAUUCAAGUUAAGCUUUAACCACCUGCUAAGAGCAUUGGAAGGAGAUCAGUUUAUGCUCAGAAAUAGUUGCUCAAUACAUCAUUAAGUACAAGAAUGUGAUAUCGAUGCAAGCAUGACAUAGAUACCGCCUGAUGCAUUACAAUCGGAUUAAACCGAGAUUUAAUUAGACUUGAUAUGAACUACCUAAAACUACACGACUCUUACUUAGCCGAAAUCUAGAAGCUAAAAGGCUCUUUUCAAUUUUUUAAUUACCUUUUGGCAUAAAGCAUGCAUAAAAAUGGAAGAAAAAUCACAAUGCACUUUUAUCUUGCUGUUCUUAUUACCAGAUUCUGAUGUCAUUUCUGAAAUUGCAACAAAAUAUCAAGAGGUAUGCUAUAUUCAGGAAAUGAACUUAAGAUGCCAAGCAAAUUAGAAGCCAGAUCUGCUUAUGAUUAGUUUAAAUUGUUUUAGAUUAUGUCAUUAUGAUACUGCUUGCUACCUGCAUUUAUGAAUUUGUAGACCUGAAAACAAAAAUAAGAAGAAUCAAGAUAUCGACUUAAUACAAUCAUUGUGGUGUCCAUUAGUAGGAAGGUUUAGUUAAAUGAUUAUAUUAAGAAGAGGGAAAUAAUCAGUAGAAACUAGACAUAAUACAAGUUAUUAUUAUGCCAACUUAAGGUACACUCUCAUAUAUGCAAAUGAGCAGAACUUGGUCGCAAACAGUUCAUGUAUUUGGAGGAACCUACAGCUCAUGUCAAUAAGUUAGCAAAGAUCUGUGGCAACUAUUUCAUGCACAGUUCAAGGUUUAAAUGAAUCAAGCAAAUGCCUACAGGAAGUUCAUUGUAAUAAGGUUUAGAUACAAAGUUACAGUCAUUCUUGUCUAAGUCGCCUAAAUUCGUGCACUUAGAUGAAUGUAUUCAACUCCAUUUCCUUGUAUUCUCUAGGAAAAAGUGCUGACCCAACUCAUCGUUUUUAUCAAAGAUAUGAUUCUUUCUAUAUAUCUUAGCAUGCAUGAAAUGUACAGUCAUAUAAGACAGCAACACCUUGUACAAGAACUAACAAAAAAGAUGGCCAGGACAAAACAUUAUGAUUUGCAACUCAGAUUCAUAGAACACUUCAAACCACUCCAGAGCCUUCAGAGUGUAAAGACAGGCUCCUUUUUGUCGAGAGUUAAUUGGAAAGGAUGAGUGCUUCACCUGCUUGGCUCUACUAAGCAAUGGAGGUACCUAACAAAGCAUGAAGAGUCGGUGAUGCCAUCAGGGUUGCAAAUGUGGCCCGUGGGGGAUCAUUUUGGGGGUUCUUGUGAAUGAACAGAAUGAUCAGAGCAACAAUUGAAGAGAUCUCUUGACUCAGAAGGAGAAGACUAAUGUGGCAUUGUCAUUAUGGGAGCAAUGAGGAAGAAAGGUAUGUCAUAUCCUACUUAACUCUGUUCACUCUCUAUCUAAAGAUUGGAUCCAAUGUGUUAGAGGGCCUCAACUGCCUCCACUUUGAUUUGGUGCAUAUUUCCAUUGUGUUCUUUUAGCUCCAAGAAAAAAAAGGGGUUUGUCAACAGUGAUGAAACACAGGACUCAGCACAAUAUUAGAAGAAAAUUGCAUUUAUUUGAAGCCUAAUCUGCUUCAUCCUUUCUGUCCAUUAUUGAGAAUCACAAGCUUGCUAUUUAGUAUUAUCAAUUCAGAUGUUGGUCACAAUACCACACACAACAUAACUGUAAAAUAGAACAGAAUUCAAGGCAAUCGACUGAGUCACCUACAAACCUGCGUUUGGAACUUUUCUCUUCUCUAGUCAACACCAUUGUCGUUGGUAAGUAAUAAGAAUGCACCACACUGAUGCAUGUAACUCGAGACUGAUUCUAUAUCUCAUCUAUCAAGACUUCUACUUUGUUUCAGAUGAUCGAUUUCUUCUUAGGCAAAAGAGAAGCAGAAUUUUUGUGCUUAUGCGUGUUUUGCAGCAUGCACGUUUCCUUUUGCAUUGCUGAAAAUAAACUUGGAUAUGGUAGGUGAUUAAUGGGUGUCUGUGUUUCCUUGACAUUAACAUGGAUCAUGAAGGGAUAAAUCAUUUCAGUUUCGUCAUUCUAAGGUAUAUCGAGAAGAACAAAUCAGAAAACUACUUAUUUGUCUGGUACAGCUACAUCAGAUAUUUGACAGACUCACAGGUCUGCAUCUUAGUAUGAAAGGUAAGUUACCUCAAAGCUCAUUGAUGUCUUUCUUCUUCUUCUUCUUCUUCUUCUUCUUCUUCUUCUUCAGCAGCAGCAGCAAAAGCAGCAUCAUCAUCGACCAGGUUUGUCUCGAAGGUGCAGGAAUGCUUGAUGUAGUUUAUAUAAUUGCCUCGGUCAUCUUUCAUGGAAAAAAUUGUAAAGUGUUUGAUCAUGGGCCAGUCUGCGCCAUUUUGGAGGCAUCUGCGGAGGAGUUGGGUGGUUCCGGACACGUCCAGUCUCUGGAGUGUGGUGAAGCUUGCAGGACAAGCCGCCAACCACUCCGGUAAAUGUUUUUGAUCGAACAAGAAGUUGCCCAACUUCAAGAGCUCCAGCGCAGGGAGAUCAGUAACAAUCUCCAGAUCUGAUUUACCACUUAUGCUCAGUUGUUUCACAGAAGGGAAACCUCUGAUGGACUUGAGAGCACACACAUAGGACAGAUCCAAUGUGGUUAAGCAGGUUGCCUGUCGGAUCAGGCCUUCCGGUAGACACUUCAACUUGGGGCAAUUUACGAGGACCAAUUUGUCGAGGCGAUGCAUAGCAAAACCUCCCGCUACCCAAUCCCACACUUCCAUGUUAGUCAUAUUCCAGAGUUCCAGCUGCCUUAGUUUCGGAAACAACGGAGGAGAAGUAGUAGUAGUAGAAGAAGAAGAAGAAGAAGAAGAAGAAGAAGAAGGGCGCUUUGAAUUCCGUUCCGGAUCAUGACCAGUAGCAACCGCAGCUUCACACCCAAAAAAUUCCGGUCCGAUGGUGGUCACUGCACGUGCACCGCGUAUGAAAAGAAACUCCAAACUGGGGAGCUUUCCUAGCGGUGGAAGCAGUGGCCAAUGAUCGCAGUUAAUUAGUUCCAAGCGGCUUAUGUUUGGAAGAAGCGAACUGAUGCUUGCAGACGCCAUCCAGCUGGGGUACCGGAGGCCGAAGAAAUUCUGUAAACUGAGCGAAACAACAGAUGAUGGUGGAUGAAGUGCCACAUCCAACACCUUCUCCAUUCUUUCAAUCUCUUCCUCCGUGUGACCAUCGGAUGUCGGUCGGUCUGAGCAUUCUAAGCGCAGAUGCUUCAGUUUUUGGUUACCCUUUAAGCCGCUUGUAUCUCUCCUUGGAUCAGCUUCCAUGCACGCCCUCUCCAACUUGAAAAUGGAAAGGUAUCUGAGCUCCAGGAGGCCGCCUAAUGCUUCCAAUGGACACAUACCAUUACCCGUGUUCACGACGAAUCCUUGGAGUUCAUUGAGGUGCUUCAACCUUUUUAUUCCAUAUGGAAAGCUCUCCAGCCGUGUACCUAUACAAUCGAGUGUCCUUAGAUUGACUAGCCUAUCUAUACCUUGGGGGAUCUGUGUCAACUUCGUACAUCCUGAGAGGAUCAAAAACUGCAAAUUCAUCAGAUUGCAUAUGCUUUCUGGAAGCUCCGUUAUAAAGCUCCAAUAUACAAUCAAGUAUCUCAAGUGUAUCAAAUUUCCGAUAUAGUGCGGUAGGCUCUGAAUAUUUAUGCCCAUGAGAUAGAGGACUCGAAGUCGCACGAGGUUCUUCAAGGAAUCAUCUAUAUCCCCCACAAUGCCGCGUGUUCCCUCCACUAACAAUGUCCUCACUGACUCAUGUCGCUUGGUCAAACUGACGAUGUGCUGGAUGUCCGUGGUUUCAGUGGCCACGAUCGACAACCGACGCAGCUUCAUCGGGACGACACCACUUUUCCACUCGUUUUGCACGUCACUAAUGAACAAGCUCUCAUCUCUCGAUAGGAAAUGGCCGAGAGAUCUCAGCAGGUCAUGCAUCUUGGAAUAUUCAUCGUAGUCCACACUCAAAGGUUGCAGCGAUUGUAGAAGGCACCUAUGAUGCAGCUCUAUGUAAUAUUGCUCCCCUGUUUCCUCCAAGCUGACAUCUCCUCGUGCUUCGACAAACCCCUCGGCUAUCCAUAAUCUGACGAUUUCAGGCCCGUAAAACUCAAAGUCUUCUCGGAACAGGGCGCAGUAGAGAAAGCAUUGCUUGAGAUGAGACGGCAGGUCUUGGUAACUCAGAUACAGUGCUCCGUGCACACCUUCGGGAAGCCCGGUCCGUGACCAUGCGGCGCUGCGGAGAACCUCCUCCCACACACUUCUGUUGAGUCCUCUGGUGCAGAGGACCCCUCCGAUGGUCUUGAUGGCCAGGGGAAGCCCUCCGCAUUUCUCAACAAUCUUCAUGCCUGUGUCCUUGAGAUCUUGGGCAUCCCUUUCCUCCUCUGCAUUCAUCGUCGCCUUCUUGCACAGGAGCGACCAGCCAUCCUCCGGAGGCAGCAGCUUCAUCUCGUGGACGUGGGCCGCCUUCAUUUGCCUCGCGAUCCCUGCGUUUCUGGUGGUCACCAGCACCCUACUCCCUGCUGCUCCUCCCUGCAAAGGAUUGCGGAGCAAGUCGUCCCAGAUCUGAGCAUCCCAAACAUCAUCCAACACCAGCAAGAACUUGUUCCCUCUCAGGAGAUCCUCCACCAAGGGCUCCAGCAGACUCCUGCUCUGUUCUCCACCAUGGCUUCCACCAGCACCUUUAACGAUAUUUCUGAGAAGAUCCGUUUCGUUGAACUCUUGGGACACGCACACCCAGAUGGUGGUGCGGAAGCUGGCUUUGAUUUUACCAUCAUUGAACACCUUCUGAGCGACGGUGGUCUUUCCGAUGCCGCCGAUCCCCACAAUUGCCAGCACCACCACGUUCUUACUCGGAUCUUGCUUUGUCAGCUGCUCCACCAGUGCCUCGGCGUCCUCCUCCAGUCGCUCGCCAACCAUGUCAGACUCCAUCACGGGGGAAGUUAUGCGACUAACUCGAGGAACCACCCUUGGUCCCGCCGCAGACACAUGGAGUUGCAACUUGGACCUUCGGGCCGAGAUCUCUUCCAGCCGAUCGUUGAGAACCUUGAUUUUGACGCCCACCUUCUUUCUGAACUUGACCUCGCGAAAGCAAGCAAAGACGGGAAAUCCGCACGAGGUGGACGGCUUCGGAUCGGACUCACGAGGAGUCCACUUCUCGGCCUCCAUCCGGCACUCGUCGAGGACAUCGUCAGCGUCGUACAUGACAUCCUUGAGCUCCAUCAGCCAGUUAUUGACGUCCUCGUCCUCGAUCCGCCGCUUCUCGGCGUCGCGAAGGACAUACUGGAUGUUGCGGAGAGUGCGUUGGAGCUUUUGGAUCUCCCCGGGAACGCCCAACAGCAAGUCCACCUCCUCUUUAGCCAUGUCCAUCAACGUACCGACCAGCCCGGAGAUGAAGGCUUCAAGCACAACGGCCAUCUUUGGUCACAGAGUGGGAGUGGGAGUGGGAGUACUGUACCUCUCUCUUCUAAGUCUUUGUGUCAGCCAAGACGAAGGUGCAAAUUAUAGCUGCAUAAACUAUAUAUAUAUAUAUAUUCUAAAAGAAAACUUAAAAAACUUAAUUACUAAAAUUGAUAUAUCAACGAAAGAUAUAUCCAAAUCCAAAAGAUAAAAAUUCCUCCAAAAAUCAAAGAAUUUAUUGGCUCCAGUAUGAGCGACUAAUCGAUUAGCCACAUGAUUUUCUUCCAUAUAAGAUUUUAUAAUCAUUCAUAUAAACAUUUGAUGUAAAAUAUCCCUAACAACAUUUAAAAUUCAUCAUAGAGGAAGAAAAAGAUUAUUUAUUUAUAAUAUUUACUAUCCUCAUAAGCCAGCCAAGUGUAAUCCUUUAAAGAUAAUUUUUACGUCACAAUAAUUAUUAUCUGGUUUCUAAAUAUACCUACAACUGAAAAAAAAUAACGAAAGCAUCUGAAGCCAAUACCACUAUUACAUUUAUGAUUCUAAGAAAUAUUAUAAUUUAAUUUGAUCCAAUCGAAAGCUAAUUUUUCUCAUUUAACCAAGCAAAAUUAAUGACUAAAGUUUCUUAUGGAUUUGAUUGACUUCUGAUAAAUGUGUAAAACCAUUUCAAAAAAAUAUAUAUAUAUAUUAUAUUAUUAAAAAUAACAUCAUUAUGAUCCCCGAGAGCAAUAAAAUAAAAAGUCUCAAAAUUAAACAAAAAAUAAACCCUCACCUAAAUCGAAGGCCCAUGUGAUGACCGAGAAUCAAAAAGAUAAAAAUAUAAACCAAAUCGAUUCUUACACAGAGAUCAAAAAGUCAACUAAACAGAACUUAGCUGUACUCACAAAUCCCCAAACCCGAUCAACGGCGACCAGCAACAGUAGCACUGGCAAAACAUGCAUAAACUAUGGACGAACAAUAUAAAGUACGAGUGACCAAUUCUAUAACGUGUUGCAAGAAAAAAGAGGCUUUUGAUACCAACUAAAGACUAUGAUAUCAAGAUAAAACAGGUUGGUUCUGAUGCUAAUAACAAAAGCAAAAGCGGGAGAUGGACAAAGGGAUGAGUGAAUGAUUGAGAUGCGGAGGGAGUAAAAGAAUUUAUGCAAAGAAGUGGUUCCACACUUGGAAGGAUUAACAUACAGACACAUAAGAAUUUGCAAGUAUAAGAUCAACAUUUCAAACCAAGUUAAACCAGAUAUAUAUAUAUAUAUAUAUAUAUAUAUAUAUAUAUAUAUAUAUAUAUAUAUAUAUAUAUAUAUAUAUAUNNNNNNNNNNNNNNNNNNNNNNNNNNNNNNNNNNNNNNNNNNNNNNNNNNNNNNNNNNNNNNNNNNNNNNNNNNNNNNNNNNNNNNNNNNNNNNNNNNNNNNNNNNNNNNNNNNNNNNNNNNNNNNNNNNNNNNNNNNNNNNNNNNNNNNNNNNNNNNNNNNNNNNNNNNNNNNNNNNNNNNNNNNNNNNNNNNNNNNNNNNNNNNNNNNNNNNNNNNNNNNNNNNNNNGUAGUAUAACACAUUUCAAAGUUUUCUAUGCUAAUGCUUGUGGAUAAUCAUUAUAUUUCCCCCAAGCAAAGCUUGUUUAUUGUCAUCAUAAUGAUUAAACUUAGAAUGUAUUAAUGUGAUUUGGCAAGUUGUGAAUGAAAAAUAUUUUAAAUUUUCAUUUUGCCACACAUCUGACUUAAUGAAAUGUUUUUCUUGAUAUCAAUCAAUUCCUUCUUUUAAUGUGGUGUUUUCAAAUAUCUUCUUAUCAGUUAUUGCUAAAAUUGAUUGACAAUAAAUACUUGGAACAUUUGGGUUUCUCAUUAUUGAAAAACAAAUCAAAUGAAGGAAAAGAAUAGAACAAAUAUAGAUGAUGACACAAACAAAUUCUUUGUCUCUACUAUCUACAAUAAAAAUUAAUUAAUUUUUGGACUUUUUCUGUUCCUCCAAAUAUCUUCACCAACUCUUAGGAUCCAAGAUCAUUUCAUGGUACCAAUGAUUUAGCCAUUACUUUUCUCAUGUAACAUGAAUUAUGAACCCAUGAGGUGUUGCAAUUUGCAUUCAUGGAACAACCACCCACAAAAGUUGUGAUAUUUCACUUUUUCCUGCGUUCUUUUACUGUUGAUAACUCACUUUAUAUAAUGGAAGAAAAAAAAGGGCUCUUUUCUUUUUCUUCUUGGAAUCAUCCAAAUGUUCAGCAAUCUGCAGUAUUUAAUUUAUAUUUAGUUAUAUUCUCUUUAAAUUUUGCCAUGUACAUGAGAGGAUUUGAUGAUGACUGGUUUUGUCUUUAUCAUGAUUUAGAAGUCAAAAGGCUUUUUAGUCUUUUCCUCUUCUCCUAUUUCUUUUGGCAAUUGAUGGUAAUUUUAGAGUUAGCAACAUCAUUAGGAGGGCUACCAACUUUAACGAGGAAUUGAAGUAUUUUUUAUGUUGCAUGAAAAUUGAGGUGUGGAGAAAGAUUACCAGAAACCUUUUUUAAAUGACUUCUCAUAUCGAUAGCAGUUAUUCCCUUCAGCUUUCGGACUUCAUCCCUCGGUUUCUCAACACCUUCGAAUGCCUCCUGGCAAUUAUUUAAGAGUACACGCUUGACGGUAAUCACCCUCCCACCUUCUUCAUCAAUGGGGAAGAAAGGAAGUCUUUCGUUGAGAUAGGAACACAGUUGAGCACACACGGGGCAAAUUGUUGGCUCAAAGACAGACAGCUUUCUCAAAAAUGAUAGUAACUACACCCUGCAGCAUAGGUGUUCUCCAUAUAAAAUUUCGAUAAAUUAGAGCUGAAAUAUUCAACAAAAAUAUCAUAUAAAUUUAGGGAGAGAUCAUAACCUUUAGGAUAUCAGGUGUCAUAAUUCCAGCAUCAACUAUCUGACCCUUUAAAACAUCAAACUUUUCUGGCGUCAGCUUGUUCAAUAUACUGCAAUAAUAAAAAAAAACAUCUUCACCCGAGAAUCCAAUUAAUACACCAUAAGUUGACUGCAAGUGAAGUCUAUGAAUUCCAAGGAAAGCAAUUAAAAGCCUAAUCUGAACCAGAAUCAUAGCCCAAUAUAGAUUAAUGUAUGGAGGAUGACUUCUGUUAUGCACGUACAAAAUCAUCAGCAUCUUUUGCUACACUAAAUUAAGAAUUAAUAUAAUUACCCUUCUACUGUUUUCAGCACCAGCUAUUUUUCACUAGGAUUGCCUCUUCGAGCAGAUCACGGCACUUCAGCCUUAUGUAGAGCAGGAGCAAGUCCUACCUAUUAUAUUGCAAUUGGAGCUGACCAAUGUCAAAACACAAACAAAAAUGAAGAUCGAAAUGCACAAAAAAAGGGUACAACUAAUGAGUCCAGAUAUAACAAGCCAACAAAUAAAUCCAGGAUAAAUGUCCCACGAGCAAUUGCAAAGGUGGCCAAGAGGCAAGAUAGUAUAACCAUUCAAGUACAUAAGGUAGUGAUAACAGAAAAAUCCUUAGCACAUGAGAUAGUAUGAAUUGAGGCCAAGUUCCUCUUUUCGGUCCGAAGGUUAAAAACUCCCUACAUGGUUAGGUAAAUACAUAGUAUUGCAGAAAAUUGUCGACAAACACAAUCAAGCUGAGACAUAGACCUAUUUCAAGAAUACGCCUGAAAACAACAUAAAUUACACAUUUGGAACAAGUUAAUUAUCAGGGUAAAAAAAAAAGGAAGGACUGCAGAACGUCUCAGAAAUGAAAUGUUCAAAGCAAGGAUUUAACUAUUAAUAUGGUUCUGGUUUGGUAGCAUACAAAACGAGUAUGGUACCAGUAUACCAGAUGGUACACCAGCCUAUAUCGCCUAGUGUCAUUGAAUAAAAUAAUAAAAAUAAAAAGAGAUGUAUUGCCUUGGUAUCGAGCUCUACGUUCCAGUACUGGUACUUAGUUGAAUCAUAAAUAUGGGUCUGAACUGAUUGGUAUGAGAUUGAAACCUUGGUUCAAAGUAUCAUGAUGUACGCACACCUAAAAUUUCUACUUAAACACUAAAAUCUAAAUUUGCCUUCGGUGGACUCAUUUAAGUAUUACAUCAAAGUACAGGCCCUUUAGUAUAUAAUUCAUGUAAUAAAUUGAAUACAUGCAGCGAUUGUGCAGGAGCAAAUCUAGGUCAAAUGUCAGAUAUUGAAGUAAACAAUGGGUGAGAUAACUGUUUCAGGAUGGAUGAAAUGAAGAUGCCUUACAGAGUUUUAUCCUGAGACUGGCCAAUAGUCAAGUUAUACGUACAAUAAAGAACCAUUUUUAUCUAGGUUUAAAGUUAGUAGCUAACGAGAAUGCGUGUCGAACAUCUGAAGAUAUGCUUGAACCAAAUUGUGGGUUACAAAAGAUGUAAAAUUAGACCAAGAAAGUGGCAGGGAUCAACUUAACUCUAAACAAUACUAUAUAUGCAUAAAUAUAAAAAGUGCAUAUAGCAUGUUCAGUGCAAAUAAUGCAUCAAUUGACAAGAAAAUCACAUCAAACACAGUGAGUCUCUUAAGAAGAAGUCAUCUCAAAUUCCCAAUGACAUGAUCACCAAUCAACUUAGUUUUUGUUCCAAAAGGGAUAAAAUAAAAUCUUUGAGUUGAACUAGCACAAAGUUUACCACUUCAUGAUGAGGGACCCAAUUGUUUGCACGUAGGUCAAGCAUAUCAUGAACCAUAAAUCUCAGAGGUGGUGGCAAUUGAGGAUCGAUACUUAGCUCCUUCAGCCAGUUAAAAUAAACAUCGUUAAACCUUUGAGACUUGGGGCUCUCAUCUAACUGCUUCCCUGUGGUCUUCAAUAACUGGCAGAUCGCCUCAACAUUUUCCUCAGCUGCACAUGAUUUUCCAUCAUGCCCCAGAAGCUCCUGCAGACAGUAAAUAUAUCAGGAAGUCCCUGAAAGAGGACAC